rnacentral:rRNA from 1 species
UAGGGAAUCUUCGGCAAUGGGGGCAACCCUGACCGAGCAACGCCGCGUGAGUGAAGAAGGUUUUCGGAUCGUAAAGCUCUGUUGUAAGUCAAGAACGGGUGUGAGAGUGGAAAGUUCACACUGUGACGGUAGCUUACCAGAAAGGGACGGCUAACUACGUGCCAGCAGCCGCGGUAAUACGUAGGUCCCGAGCGUUGUCCGGAUUUAUUGGGCGUAAAGCGAGCGCAGGCGGUUUGAU